rnacentral:rRNA from 1 species
GUAGUCCACGCCGUAAACGAUGAGUGCUAAGUGUCGGGGGGUUUCCGCCCCUCGGUGCUGGAGUUAACGUAUUAAGCACUCCGCCUGGGGAGUACGACCGCAAGGUUGAAACUCAAAGGAAUUGACGGGGACCCGCACAAGCGGUGGAGCAUGUGGUUUAACUCGAAGCUACGCGAAGAACCUUACCAGCUCUUGACAUCUUCUGUCCACUCUAGAGAUAGAGCUUCCCCUUCGGGGGCAGAAUGACAGGUGGUGCAUGGUUGUCGUCAGCUCGUGUCGUGAGAUGUUGGGUUAAGUCCCAUAACGAGCGCAACCCUUAUUGUUAGUUGCCAGCAUUCAGUUGGGCACUCUAGCGAGACUGCCGGUGAUAAACCGGA